rnacentral:rRNA from 1 species
CCUACGGGAUGCAGCAGUGAGGAAUCUUUGUCCAUGGUCGCGAGCCUGAACCAGCCAAGUCUCGUGAAGGAUGACGGCCCUCCGGGUUGUAAACUUCUUUUGUCAGGGCGCACUUGGGUCCACGCGUGGGCUUAGCGCGAGUACCUGACGAACAAGCAUCGGCUAACUCCGUGCCAGCCGCCGCAGUAAUACGGGGGAUGAGAGCGUUAUCCGGAUUUAGUGGUUUUUAAGGGUGCGUAGUCGGAAUAUCAAGUCAGCGGUAAUAAUUCGGGGCUCAACCCCGUCGUGCCGUUGAAACUGAGGUUCUUGAGUGGGCGAGAAGUAUGCGGAAUGCGUGGUGUAGCGGUGAAAUGCAUAGAUAUCACGCAGAACUCCGAUUGCGAAGGCAGCAUACCGGCGCCCAACUGACGCUGAAGCACGAAAGCGUGGGUAUCGAACAGGAUUAGGUACCCGGGUAGUC